CUUAGGCGUGUGACUGCGUACCUUUUGUAUAAUGGGUCAGCGACUUAUAUUCUGUAGCAAGGUUAACCGAAUAGGGGAGCCGAAGGGAAACCGAGUCUUAACUGGGCGUUAAGUUGCAGGGUAUAGACCCGAAACCCGGUGAUCUAGCCAUGGGCAGGUUGAAGGUUGGGUAACACUAACUGGAGGACCGAACCGACUAAUGUUGAAAAAUUAGCGGAUGACUUGUGGCUGGGGGUGAAAGGCCAAUCAAACCGGGAGAUAGCUGGUUCUCCCCGAAAGCUAUUUAGGUAGCGCCUCGUGAAUUCAUCUCCGGGGGUAG
rnacentral:rRNA from 1 species